rnacentral:rRNA from 1 species
AUUGAACGCUGGCGGCAGGCCUAACACAUGCAAGUCGAACGGUAACAGGAAGCAGCUUGCUGCUUUGCUGACGAGUGGCGGACGGGUGAGUAAUGUCUGGGAAACUUCCCGAUGGAGGGGGAUAACUACUGGAAACGGUAGCUAAUACCGCAUAACGUCGCAAGACCGAAGAGGGGGACCUUAGGGCCUCUUGCCAUCGGAUGUGCCCAGAUGGGAUUAGCUAGUAGGUGGGGUAACGGCUCACCUAGGCGACGAUCCCUAGCUGGUCUGAGAGGAUGACCAGCCACACUGGAACUGAGACACGGUCCAGACUCCUACGGGAGGCAGCAGUGGGGAAUAUUGCACAAUGGGCGCAAGCCUGAUGCAGCCAUGCCGCGUGUAUGAAGAAGGCCUUCGGGUUGUAAAGUACUUUCAGCGGGGAGGAAGGGAGUAAAGUUAAUACCUUUGCUCAUUGACGUUACCCGCAGAAGAAGCACCGGCUAACUCCGUG